GACGAACGCUGGCGGCGUGCUUAACACAUGCAAGUCGAGCGGUAAGGCCCUUUCGGGGGUACACGAGCGGCGAACGGGUGAGUAACACGUGGGUGACCUGCCCUCAGCUCUGGGAUAAGCCUGGGAAACCGGGUCUAAUACUGGAUAUGACUCCAUGACGCAUGUUGUGGGGUGGAAAGCCUUGCGCGGCUGAGGAUGGGCCCGCGGCCUAUCAGCUUGUUGGUGGGGGUGANGGCCUACCAAGGCGACGACGGGUAGCCGGCCUGAGAGGGCGACCGGCCACACUGGGACUGAGACACGGCCCAGACUCCUACGGGAGGCAGCAGUGGGGAAUCUUGCGCAAUGGGCGAAAGCCUGACGCAGCGACGCCGCGUGAGGGAUGACGGCCUGGUU
rnacentral:rRNA from 1 species